UGAAACUCCAGAAGGAGGAAACACCAGAAGGAAGAAACACAGCCAAGGAGAAGAUAAGAUCACACCAUGAAACAUUACUAACAGCGAAGAAGCAAAAAUGGCACCUAAAAAAGCUCCAGCGGACAAGGAAGCGAAGCCGGGCAAAGAUGCAAAAGACGCCAAAGAAAAAGAUGAAGAAGAAUCAGCAUGUAUGGAGAUGUUAUAGACAUUCAAGUGGUCCACUGAACUUCUUGGAAUGUACUAGAAAGGGAAAUUGGCAAAGGAGCUGAAAACAGACAUGGUUUGUGGGGAAGGCAGGAGUGAGGAAGAAGCGCUGCAAAAAAUAAAAGUCCAGGAGAUUCAGGGUGCAUCUACACUGUAUAAUGAAUGCAGUUUGAUACCACUUUGUGUGCCGUAGCUCCAUGCUAUGGAAUCCUGGCCCAAAAUCCCAAAGUGGCCUAAAAGUCACUAACGAAUGUCUAUACGACAUACGGGGUCCAUAAUGCCAGAUUAAACCAGGGUUAGCCCUAUAGUAAGAAAUAUCAGGGAAUGCUCCGGAAUUUCAGCAAAGACAUGUUGGUGCUU